GCAUUAGUAGCUCAGCCCCAGAGCGCCGGUC
rnacentral:tRNA from 1 species